GUGUCCUACGGGGGGCAGCAGUGGGGAAUAUUGGGCAAUGGGCGCAAGCCUGACCCAGCAACGCCGCGUGAAGGAAGAAGGCUUUCGGGUUGUAAACUUCUUUUAUCAGGGACGAAGCAAGUGACGGUACCUGAUGAAUAAGCCACGGCUAACUACGUGCCAGCAGCCGCGGUAAUACGUAGGUGGCAAGCGUUAUCCGGAUUUACUGGGUGUAAAGGGCGUGUAGGCGGGAGUGCAAGUCAGAUGUGAAAACUAUGGGCUCAACCCAUAGCCUGCAUUUGAAACUGUACUU
rnacentral:rRNA from 1 species